AGAGUUUGAUCAUGGCUCAGGACGAACGCUGGCGGCGUGCCUAAUACAUGCAAGUAGAACGCUGAAGAGAGGAGCUUGCUCUUCUUGGAUGAGUUGCGAACGGGUGAGUAACGCGUAGGUAACCUGCCUUGUAGCGGGGGAUAACUAUUGGAAACGAUAGCUAAUACCGCAUAACAAUGGAUGACCCAUGUCAUUUAUUUGAAAGGGGCAAAUGCUCCACUACAAGAUGGACCUGCGUUGUAUUAGCUAGUAGGUGAGGUAACGGCUCACCUAGGCGACGAUACAUAGCCGACCUGAGAGGGUGAUCGGCCACACUGGGACUGAGACACGGCCCAGACUCCUACGGGAGGCAGCAGUAGGGAAUCUUCGGCAAUGGGGGCAACCCUGACCGAGCAACGCCGCGUGAGUGAAGAAGGUUUUCGGAUCGUAAAGCUCUGUUGUAAGUCAAGAACGAGUGUGAGAGUGGAAAGUUCACACUGUGACGGUAGCUUACCAGAAAGGGACGGCUAACUACGUGCCAGCAGCCGCGGUAAUACGUAGGUCCCGAGCGUUGUCCGGAUUUAUUGGGCGUAAAGCGAGCGCAGGCGGUUUGAUAAGUCUGAAGUUAAAGGCUGUGGCUCAACCAUAGUUCGCUUUGGAAACUGUCAAACUUGAGUGCAGAAGGGGAGAGUGGAAUUCCAUGUGUAGCGGUGAAAUGCGUAGAUAUAUGGAGGAACACCGGUGGCGAAAGCGGCUCUCUGGUCUGUAACUGACGCUGAGGCUCGAAAGCGUGGGGAGCGAACAGGAUUAGAUACCCUGGUAGUCCACGCCGUAAACGAUGAGUGCUAGGUGUUGGAUCCUUUCCGGGAUUCAGUGCCGCAGCUAACGCAUUAAGCACUCCGCCUGGGGAGUACGACCGCAAGGUUGAAACUCAAAGGAAUUGACGGGGGCCCGCACAAGCGGUGGAGCAUGUGGUUUAAUUCGAAGCAACGCGAAGAACCUUACCAGGUCUUGACAUCCCGAUGCUAUUUCUAGAGAUAGAAAGUUACUUCGGUACAUCGGUGACAGGUGGUGCAUGGUUGUCGUCAGCUCGUGUCGUGAGAUGUUGGGUUAAGUCCCGCAACGAGCGCAACCCCUAUUGUUAGUUGCCAUCAUUCAGUUGGGCACUCUAGCGAGACUGCCGGUAAUAAACCGGAGGAAGGUGGGGAUGACGUCAAAUCAUCAUGCCCCUUAUGACCUGGGCUACACACGUGCUACAAUGGUUGGUACAACGAGUUGCGAGUCGGUGACGGCAAGCUAAUCUCUUAAAGCCAAUCUCAGUUCGGAUUGUAGGCUGCAACUCGCCUACAUGAAGUCGGAAUCGCUAGUAAUCGCGGAUCAGCACGCCGCGGUGAAUACGUUCCCGGGCCUUGUACACACCGCCCGUCACACCACGAGAGUUUGUAACACCCGAAGCCGGUGAGGUAACCUUUUGGAGCCAGCCGCCUAAGGUGGGAUAGAUGAUUGGGGUGAAGUCGUAACAAGGUA
rnacentral:rRNA from 1 species